AAUCCUGGCUCAGGGUGAACGCUAGCUACAGGCUUAACACAUGCAAGUCGAGGGGCAGCAUGGUCUUAGCUUGCUAAGGCUGAUGGCGACCGGCGCACGGGUGAGUAACACGUAUCCAACCUGCCGUCUACUCUUGGCCAGCCUUCUGAAAGGAAGAUUAAUCCAGGAUGGGAUCAUGAGUUCACAUGUCCGCAUGAUUAAAGGUAUUUUCCGGUAGACGAUGGGGAUGCGUU
rnacentral:rRNA from 1 species